GCCACCGUAGCUCAGUUGGUAGAGCGGCUCACUCGUAAUGAGCAGGUCGUCGGUUCGAGUCCGACCGGUGGCU
rnacentral:tRNA from 1 species